rnacentral:rRNA from 1 species
GCUUGUCUCAAAGAUUAAGCCAUGCAUGUCUAAGUAUAAACAAAUCUAUACUGUGAAACUGCGAAUGGCUCAUUAUAUCAGUUAUAGUUUAUUUGAUGGUUCUUGCUACUUGGAUAACCGUAGUAAUUCUAGAGCUAAUACAUGCAUCAAACCCCGACUCCUGGAAGGGGUGUAUUUAUUAGAUGGAAACCAAUGCGGGGCAACCCGGAUUCUGGUGAUUCAUAAUAACUUUCGGAUCGAUCCUCGGAUCGAAUCUCAAAUUUGAGAUAAAUCAUUCAAGUUUCUGCCCUAUCAGCUUUCGAUGGUAGUGUAUUGGACUACCAUGGCAGUAACGGGUAACGAAGAAUUAGGGUUCGAUUUCGGAGAGGGAGCAUGAGAAACGGCUACCACAUCUAAGGAAGGCAGCAGG